rnacentral:lncRNA from 1 species
AAUUCAGUUUAGGGUUUAAAACCCUAAUGCUGACUGAAUGGGAAAAGUUCAGUGUAGAGUUUAAAACCCUAACGCUGACUAAAGGGAAAAUUCAGUUUAGGGUUUAAAACCCUAAUGCUGACUGAAGGAAAGAGUUCAGUUCAGGGUUUAAAACCUUAAUGCUGACUAAAGGAAAAAGUUCAGUUUAGGGUUUAAAACCCUAAUGCAGACAAAAGGAAAAAAGUUCAGUUUAGGGUUUAAAACCCUAAUGCUGACUAAAGGAAAAAGUUCAGUUUAGGGUUUAAAACCCUAAUGCUGACUAAAGGAAAAAAGUUCAGUUUAGGGUUUAAAACCCUAAUGCUGACUGAAGGAAAGAGUUCAGUUUAGUUUUUAAAACCCUAAUGCUGACUAAAGGAAAAAGGUUUAGUUUAGGGUUAUAAAACCCUAAUGCUGACUGAAGGAAAGAGUUCAGUUUAGGGUUUAAAACCCUAAUGCUGACUGAAGGAAAGAGUUCAGGUUAGGGGUUUAAAACCCUAAUGCUGACUAAAGGAAAAAGUUCAGUUUAGGGUUUUAAAACCCUAAUGCUGACUGAAGGAAAGAGUUCAGUUUAGGGUUUAAAACCCUAAUGCUGACUACAGAGAAAGUUCAGUUUAGGGUUUAAAACCCUAAUGCUGAUUACAGGGAAAAAGUUCAGUUUAGGGUUUAAAACCCUAAUGCUGACUAAAGGAAAGAGUUCAGGGUUUAAAACCCUAAUGCUGACUAAAGGAAAAAGUUCAGUUUAGGGUUUAAAACCCUAAUGCUGACUAAAGGAAAAAAGUUCAGUUUAGGGUUUAAAACCCUAAUGCUGACUGAAGGAAAGAGUUCAGUGUAGGGUUUAAAACCCUAAUGCUGACUAAAGGAAAAAGUUCAGUUUAGGGUUUAAAACCCUAAUGCUGACUAAAGGAAAAAAGUUCAGUUUAGGGUUUAAAACCGUAAUGCUGACUGAAGGAAAGAGUUCAGUUUAGGGUUUAAAACCCUAAUGCUGACUAAAUGGGAAAAGUUCAGUUUAGGGUUUAAAACCCUAAUGCUGACUAAAGGGAAAAAGUUUAGUUUAGGGUUUAAAACCCUAAUGCUGAUGAAGGAAAGAGUUCAGUUUAGGGUUUAAAAUCCUAAUGCUGACAAAAUGGGAAAAGUUCAGUUUAGGGUUUAAACCCCUAAUGUUGACUAAAGGGAAAAAGUUCGAGGAUAUAAACUGACCGGUUUUUUUUGAAUUUUCUUGUUCUAGUAAAAGAUAAAAGAGAAUUUCGUGGAAACUUACCUU